rnacentral:rRNA from 1 species
UACGGAGGGGGCUAGCGUUGUUCGGAAUUACUGGGCGUAAAGAGCUCGUAGGCGGUUUGUCGCGUCUGCUGUGAAAACCCGAGGCUCAACCUCGGGCCUGCAGUGGGUACGGGCAGACUAGAGUGCGGUAGGGGAGAUUGGAAUUCCUGGUGUAGCGGUGGAAUGCGCAGAUAAUCGGGAGGAACACCGGUGGCGAAGGCGGUUCUCUGGGCCUGUACUGACGUG